UUUACUUACAGGUUGAAAAAACACUGUUAAAUCAAGUGGGUAAGAGAUUGAUCAAUUAAGCGUAUGUAAAGUACGUCUCCCCACUUGGAAAGGUCUUGUUAUGGUAACAAGACCUUUUUUGAUUAU
rnacentral:ncRNA from 1 species